rnacentral:tRNA from 1 species
GGAGAGGUGACCGAGAGGCCGAUGGUGUUCGCCUGCUAAGCGAAUGUGGGGGUUAUACUCCACCGAGAGUUCGAAUCUCUCCCUCUCCGCCA